GGAUGCCUCUGCUUAAACUAGGAUUAGAUACCCUAUUAUUUUGAGUGUUAAUGUUUUUGCCUGAGUAGUAUUAGUUGUGUUCUUGAAACUUAAAGAAUUUGGCGGUAUCCUAUUCCGUUCAGAGGAAUCUGUCUCGUUAUCGAUAGUCCGCGUUGGACCUUACUUAGAGUUAUAUUUUUGGUUUGUAUACCGCCGUUUAUUGAUUAUCUUUUUAGAGUUCCUUAAUUUUCUGGUUUCUUUAAUUUGAUUUAUUGCAGGUCAAGGUGCAGCUUUUUCUAAGUGUAAUGAUGGAUUACAGUGUUAUGUGUUGUUUGGAUUGUUUAUUUUAAUAUUGACAUGAAAUUGGAUUUGGUUGUAAUGUCUUGUAGAUUGUUUUCAUGAUAGUUGGUUCUAGGAUAUGUACACAUCGCCCGUCGCUCUUCCAUAC
rnacentral:rRNA from 1 species